UCCCGUCUCCAGCCCCCUUCUUUCUUUCUCUCUCUCUUCCUCCCACCCCUCUCCAGCCCCUCUCAUACUCCACUCAAAGCUCUCCGCUGCCUGAAGCUCCAUCGUGGCCUCCUCGCUGCUAUAUUUAAAGCCGUCGCAGUAGACAGCCGCUGCCUCAAAGAACGCAAAGAUCAAGAAGAACUCGGCCACCCCCGGCAUAGCCAGCGCUCCGGCAAGACUUGCGCCCCUCCACCGCCCCUGUGAAUUGUUCUAGACGCGAGGAUGGAAAUCAUGGAAUCGAUGAAUCAAACCCAGUAUGCGUGUGUCGACUGCACCGUCGUUCUCCCCGUAUAAAUGCGUGAAGAAAAGCUUCGUCUUCAAGAUUCCUUCUCUCACGAAACGUUAAUUCAUUCGUUCAAUGGAAGAGGAGGAGGAUCGAAGGCUCCCAUCAUCGGACGGCGGAGGCGGAGGAUGACGAUCUAUCGGCGACGACGGUGCUGGACCUCACCAGCUUCCAGCUCCACGAUCUAAACUCGGUGGAGUUCCCUCCGAGUCUCACUGAGUUGGACCUCACCACCAAUCGCCUCUCUGCUUUGGACCCUCAAAUUGGUCAUCUCUCCGGCCUCAAGAAGCUCUCUCUCCACCAGAACCUGUUUGAGGACGCCGCCGUCGAGUGCCUCUCCCGCUGGGACCGCAUUUCAGGCCUCGAGGAUAAAAAUAAAACAUAGCUAGAGGAAGGACUGGCAUGACAGAAGAUGAUCGAAUGGAUAGUUUUGUGGCGGAUGAACUGGUGGUGACGGUGAAUAUUGUGCCUUGAGGCACGGGUACAUGCUAGAAUUCCCACUUACCCCCAAUCCUAAAGUUGGCGGGGGGUAAUGGCGGUCCGAGA